rnacentral:rRNA from 1 species
UGGGGAAUAUUGCACAAUGGAGGGAACUCUGAUGCAGCGACGCCGCGUGAACGAAGAAGGCUUUCGAGUCGUAAAGUUCUUUUAUAUGGGAAGAUAAUGACGGUACCAUAAGAAAAAGCCCCGGCUAACUACGUGCCAGCAGCCGCGGUAAUACGUAGGGGGCUAGCGUUGACCGGAAUCACUGGGCGUAAAGGGUUCGCAGGCGGAAAUGCAAGUCAGGUGUAAAAGGCAGUAGCUUAACUACUGUAAGCAUUUGAAACUGCAUAUCUUGAGAAGACUAGAGGUAAGUGGAAUUUUUAGUGUAGCGGUGAAAUGCGUAGAUAUUAAAAAGAAUACCGGUGGCGAAGGCGACUUACUGGGCUCAUUCUGACGCUGAGGAACGAAAGCGUGGGUAGCAAACAGG